rnacentral:tRNA from 1 species
GCCCGAGUGGUGAAAUUGGUAUACACCGGGGACUUAAAAUCCCCUGGCCGCAAGGCCGUGUCGGUUCGAGUCCGGCCUCGGGCACCA